GACGAACGCUGGCGGCGUGCUUAACACAUGCAAGUCGAACGGUGAAGCGCCUUCCUUUUUGGUGGGUGUGGAUGAGUGGCGAACGGGUGAGUAACACGUGAGUAACCUGCCCCCUUCUUCUGGAUAACCGCAUGAAAGUGUGGCUAAUACGGGAUAUUCUGGGUCUGUCGCAUGAUGGGUCUGGGAAAGAUAUUGUUUCGGUGGGGGAUGGGCUCGCGGCCUAUCAGCUUGUUGGUGGGGUGAUGGCCUACCAAGGCGGUGACGGGUAGCCGGCCUGAGAGGGUGGACGGUCACACUGGGACUGAGACACGGCCCAGACUCCUACGGGAGGCAGCAGUGGGGAAUAUUGCACAAUGGGCACAAGCCUGAUGCAGCGACGCCGCGUGAGGGAUGGAGGCCUUCGGGUUGUGAACCUCUUUCGCCAGUGAAGCAGGCCUGCCUCGUUUGUGGGUGGGUUGACGGUAGCUGGAUAAGAAGCGCCGGCUAACUACGUG
rnacentral:rRNA from 1 species